rnacentral:misc_RNA from 1 species
CAUUUACAGAAAUCGAACAAUAACAGUUCUCAGCGUUUUUACAGCAUUUAGUUAAAUUUUUUAUCCAAAAGGAUAUAAUUUAUAAAAAUCGAAUUAAAUUUAUGUUCCACUCGCUCUCGGUUCUGCAUUGUUUUCGUUGAUUAAAUUUGUCAAAUUUGCCUUGACGUAUUGGCAAUGGGUUGCCAAACGUAGGAAAGCGAAAGAGUGCUAAACGUAAUAGUGACAAGCAAGCCAGAAAACGAAAAGAAAUACCAGUGGAAGGAAGUGUAAAAACGGAUCGCGAAAAAUUGUCUAAUUAAUUGUGUUACUUUGCCGGAAGCGGCUUUUGUAUCCUAAUAACAAGAGGAAACAAUUUAUAAGCGGUGUCCACGGCUGAUCAAAAGGCACUCUCUGAAAGAGGUGCGUCUGUGUGUAGUGACGCACACCCCACCCCCGUUUAAGUAUAAACAUAACGCAAACGCACUUGGAAUAUUACCCACACGAGCUCACGAAUUCCACAAACGCGAUGCAUAGUGGAGAAUAGUGAUUCAAUGGAGCAAAUAUUGAUGCAGCCAUAGCUUUACACGAUGUCGCUCUUGCUACUUUCAUUAGAUUGUCGAGAGCCAGCAACGCGUUGAGAGCGUUCCCGUGCGUCCGUGCGCCAAUUAUCGAGCUGAAAAGAAAAUUAUUCAACGCUGCCACUGGCCAUUUUUAACGCGCAUCCCAGUGUUACUAAAAGAAAUAAAAAAUUCUUCAAUAAAUCUGAAAGCCAGCACAUAAGCUUGAAUUUGUCUCCUUUGUCUUCAACAGCCGAUAUUACCCGCCUUGUCGCGCCCACCGCAUAAACGUGAAACCGCGCGCGUACGCGUUCGGUUGUAAAAGAGACCCUGAGCAAAAAUCGAUUUUUCUUUGAUUUGCACGUUGCUAAAGUGGGUUUAACAUUUAUCAUAAUUAUAAGAAAAAAGUAAAUUAAUGAUAGUGUGUAGUCUGACGAAUACCAGUAUCUAAAUAAUUUGCAAAAACUAUUUCGAUUAACUCAAAACAUUCCAUUAUCUUAAAAAUACAGAUAAAACAUCGGAAUAAUACGCUGGCAAAUGUGAAAAUUUAAGUAAAACAAAGAGCAGUCAUUGAAUAAAGCAAAGCACACAAGAGACGGAAAGCAAAGUGAAAGAAAAAUCCGAUACACAAAAAACCAUCUCCCUACAAUCAAAAUCCAAUUCACUCUCAUUCAACGCUGCUUAGGCAUUCUAGUAACAAUUUGUGCUGAUUUUUGCCAUCAUAACUCUACCCACUUAUUGUUAUUCGGAAGCUUUUCGUCGAUAAGCUACGUUUCCGACGUGUUCGUCCAACAGCGUCAUCACCUUCAUCAUCACCAAAGGCGAACGCAACAGCAGCAAGUAGCAGAUACCAACAGUUUUUCUCCCAGCGCGAGUAUGGAGGUGCAAGGAAUAGAACGUGGUCAGUAAAAGUAAAGCAUACAUUUUUGUGCUUGACAAGUGCAAAAGUUGCAGAUACGAAUUAGGAACACUCGAUUUCGAAACCAAAUAAAUAAAUUUAGUGGUUAGUGUGUAAAAUUUUUAAGAUUAUUAAACACUCUCAACCACAAAAAGUCUGUGGAUACGAAAUUGCCAAGCAAAAGUGAGGCAGAAAGUGAGUCAUGCAGCGGUUGCUAUUGUCGCUUACGCUAUCGCUAUCGUCGCUGUUAACGUCGCCAAAAUUAUUUUCAAAAGUAGCUGUGGAUAUCGCAGUAAAUUGAAUUUGUUGACCGUGAGCGUUGCCUUCAACGCUCCGUUUGCCAUUACGCACGCUAAAACCAGCCGCUCCGCCCCUAAUCGCAUCGUGGUAUAAACGAGUGAACCAAGAUAUUUACAGAUAAAUUUGUUACAGACGACUCGUAUAUAUAUUAAAUAACAAAAACAAAGUGAUUCAUGGGAAAAAUUAUUAGAAGUGCCAAUAUCCUAAAUUAAAAAAUAUAAUUUUCGAAGAUACGCCUCGAAAUCGACGAUAAUCAAGACGGGGGUACGGGCGUUUGUCCAAACGUUUGCAUUUCGCAAGGAAAAAUCGAUAAUCGCUAGUCACGAGCGACAACUACCGCGCGCGUCCACCCACCACCGCAACCGAAAAUACAGGCUUAGAAAGUGUUGCACACACGCGGUGCGCUGGGAGGCCGACAAAAUUCUACAGUGAAAAGGCCGAAAAGAAUAAUCGCGUGAAAGAAAAAAUAAAUUAAAAAUAUAUUGUGCUGGUGUCAAGUUUACCCAAAGAGAUCGAAUUUGGAAAUUCAACUAUGUAAAUGAAAUUGCAUAAAAAAGUGAUAACCGAAACUAGCGUCUUAGAGGAGCAUUGACUGCCAAAAAAUACAUAUAAAUUAAUAAGUUUUUAUCGCCUUGAAAUUGAAGCACUCGUUCCCCUUGUCCCUUAAAAAAUAAUCACCGUAAAGUUGAGCUCAACAAAGUCAACGAACGACGUGAACAAACGUCAACGAAAGCCAGUUAGCUUAUAAAAGAUAAUUAGAAUAAAAAUUAAGUAAAACUUGGAAUAAAUACCGGCAGUGUACUGUUCCAGUUUAACGAGAAAUUUUACCACUGUGAAACAAACUUUAUAAAUUUAAAGGCAAACAACCUUCAACGCCUUUGUAGUAAAAACCAUCUGCAAAAUGACAAAAGACAGAUUAGCCGCACUUCACGCCGCUCAAUCCGAUGACGAGGAGUCUGAGGAAGUGGCGGUCAACGUGGAUGCCCAUGAUUCCUACAUGGAUGAGUUCUUCAAGCAGGUGGAGGAGAUACGUGGCAUGAUCGAUCGGGUGCAAGACAAUGUCGAAGAAGUUAAAAAGAAGCACUCGGCUAUUCUAUCCGCCCCUCAAUCUGAUGAGAAAACCAAACAGGAGCUGGAAGAUUUAAUGGCCGACAUAAAGAAGAAUGCGAAUCGCGUCCGUGGAAAACUAAAAAGCAUCGAACAAAAUAUCGAGCAAGAGGAGCAGCAAAACAAAUCGUCCGCCGAUUUGCGUAUACGCAAAACACAGCAUUCAACGCUUUCACGAAAAUUCGUCGAGGUGAUGACAGAAUACAAUCGCACGCAGACGGAUUACAGAGAGCGCUGCAAAGGCAGAAUACAACGUCAGUUGGAGAUUACCGGCCGUGCAACGACCAGUGAAGAGCUGGAAGACAUGCUGGAGCAGGGCAACCCAGCCGUAUUCACGCAGGGCAUUAUUAUGGAGACGCAACAGGCCAAACAAACCCUGGCCGAUAUAGAGGCUCGUCACGCUGAUAUUAUGAAGUUGGAGACAUCGAUCAAAGAGCUACACGACAUGUUUAUGGAUAUGGCUAUGUUGGUGGAGUCGCAGGGCGAGAUGAUCGAUCGCAUUGAAUAUCAUGUGGAGCAUGCUAUGGACUACGUGCAGACGGCAACUCAAGAUACAAAGAAAGCGCUCAAAUACCAGAGCAAGGCGCGCCGAAAGAAGAUCAUGAUCCUGUUAUGUUUGACUGUGUUGGGUCUCAUAGUUGCUUCAUAUGUUGGCACAACUUUCAUUAUCAAAUCGAAAUCGUAGUGCUUGAAACUAAACCAAUAAAUAAUGUUACACAUUUGCCACAGCUGCUUUUUUGUACUUAAAUUUUUGAAUCCUAAUUUUUGACAUCGCAUUUGUAUGUUUACUUUUUGUUCAACUGUUGAUCAGCCCAUUUCAUAAACUUAGCGAGAAAAAUAGCUCGUAAUGCCUGCUCUUGCUCGGAUAUUACAAGUAGUACAUACAUAUUACUAAGCGGAUAAGUAUGUUUCGUAUGAAUGCAUUUAGCGCAAUUAAAUUUAUGAGCACGCAUCCAUGAACGCCCCUACUGUUGCAGUUUUUAUUUUUUCAUUUUUGUGGGCGUGUCACUUAACGAAUGGCAAAUGGCAUUUGUGGUGAUCUCUAACAAAUGCUGAACAUAUUCCAAACACCUAUGUACCUCUCACUCUCAAAUGGAAUUGCAAGCAACAAAACAAAAAGAGCAUAUGUAUGUUAAUAACAAGAAAAAAAGCAAAUCAGCAACUAAGCGCACCAACAGGCACCUCUGAGUUUCCGUUUCCGUUGAGCAGCACCAUUUUCUACUUCUUUCAUUCAAACACCAAAUGCACUGCAACUGUUUGUAAUUGCAAUCAACAACAACAGCAAAGUACCAGCAAACUACAACCAAUGCACUGACGCUCGUUCUAAUGCAAAAAAAAAAAGAAAAACAACUAACAAAAUAUUAGCCACUCUACGUAAUCUUUUUUAAGCCUCCUCAACUAACCGCCAAAGCAUGCAACUAAUGCACGCAGAAAAUUUUGAAACAAAAAAUAAUAAAAGAAAAUGCGCAUCACAGCAAUCGCAAUAGUCAGUAAAAAAAAAAAAUAAUAAUAAUAAUAUGUGCAUGUUAUGCGGCUCCUUCGUAUUAUUUCAAUCAAUCAAUACAAGCUACAAACCAAUGUACGAUCAUCGCCAUAAAUGAGAUCACAAACGCCAGCGACCCACCAACCACUAACCCCCAACCGCCAACGAACUCCAAAGCGACCAACUGGCCAACGUUUAUCAGCUGCAAAACUGCUUACAAAAUACAAAUUUUUGCCAGAGUCAACGAUUAGCUGCGAAAUGCUUGAGACCAAAUACAUAAUUUAAUGCCAUUGCAGGCAAAUAAACCCGCUGACUAAAGCAACUUAUUCGAGGAAAUGUAUGUAAUUAAAGAAAUUUUGUGCGAAAUUCUAAGUAUUUAAUGCAUAAAGUUGCUAUGUGUCAGAGACCUUGUGGAACAAACGUUUUUUGCGCGCGACUCAACAGAAAAUAAUUUUUUAGUUGAGUUUCUGUUUUUUGUUAUCAUUUGUUAAAUUUUAUAUAUAUUUAGUAAAACAGCUGGUGGCCUAAACAACUUAACAAUGAAUAAAGAGCUCAGUUUUCUUAGGAUUUAAAUAAAUUUUCACUACUUUCUGUAAAUAUCACAAAAA